rnacentral:rRNA from 1 species
UACGGAGGAUGCGAGCGUUAUCCGGAUUUAUUGGGUUUAAAGGGUGCGCAGGCGGUCUGUUAAGUCAGAGGUCAAAGCCCGGGGCUCAACCCCGGCCCGCCGUUGAAACUGGCAGUCUCGAGUUGGAGAGAAGUAUGCGGAAUGCGCGGUGUAGCGGUGAAAUGCAUAGAUAUCGCGCAGAACUCCGAUUGCGAAGGCAGCAUGCCGGCUCCACACUGACGCUGAGGCACGAAAGCGUGGGUAUCGAACAGG